rnacentral:rRNA from 1 species
CGGGAAGUUCUCGAUGUUGCAC